rnacentral:rRNA from 1 species
AGAGUUUGAUCCUGGCUCAGAACGAACGCUGGCGGCAGGCCUAACACAUGCAAGUCGAACGGGCGUAGCAAUACGUCAGUGGCGGACGGGUGAGUAACACGUGGGAAUAUGCCUUUCGGUUCGGAACAACUCGGGGAAACCCGUGCUAAUUCCGGAUACGCCCUUACGGGGAAAGAUUUAUCGCCGAAAGAUUAGCCCGCGUUGGAUUAGCUAGUUGGUGAGGUAAAGGCUCACCAAGGCGACGAUCCAUAGCUGGUUUGAGAGAACGACCAGCCACACUGGGACUGAGACACGGCCCAGACUCCUACGGGAGGCAGCAGUGGGGAAUCUUGGACAAUGGGCGCAAGCCUGAUCCAGCCAUGCCGCGUGAGUGAUGAAGGCCUUCGGGUUGUAAAACUCUUUUGGCGGGGACGAUAAUGACGGUACCCGCAGAAUAAGCUCCGGCUAACUUCGUGCCAGCAGCCGCGGUAAUA